rnacentral:misc_RNA from 1 species
UCUCCGUAGGUGAACCUGCGGAGGGAUCAUUACCGAGUGAUGGUUCCGGCCCGACCUCCAACCCUUUGUGAAUUCGACCCAGUUGCCUCGGGGGCGACCCGGCCUUCGGGCGUCGGGCCCCCCGGUGGACCACCCAACCCUGCAUCGUUGCGUCUGAGUAACAUAUUGAAUCAAUCAAAACUUUCAACAACGGAUCUCUUGGUUCUGGCAUCGAUGAAGAACGCAGC